UCGCUCCCGUAUAAAACCCCAUUAGGCGAGUGACUAUGCUCAUUACAACUGUGGAAAUGGGUCGUUCAAGUUUGUACUUCGCGCUAUUUUCAGUAACAUUCAUAGUGCUAGACUUAGCAAGUGCUACGAAACAAGAAGAUGUUUACAGGCUGAAGAGAAGCCCGCAAAUGCCCCAGAUGCCACAACCGCCAUCACCACCAGAAGGAUUCCCUAGCCCACCAUCGAUGCCAUUCCGAAGGGCCGUUAGACAGUUACCGGAAGGCAUUUCGGAAGGACCCUCGGUCGAGCUUUCAUCCGCGAACGCUGAUCAUUCAGUGGUCUGAAGUCAUACUAUACCCGCAAGCCCGAACCCAACGUCACGUGCAAGGAGUGAAUUUACGUUCGAAACGGGAGGCCCGUGGCACCGGAGGAAAGUUUCCCAACCGAGGAGGAUAGACGUGUGAACUAAAAAUGCAGUGAUAUUUAUUCUAGUAAUUUUAAUACCUUACAUAUCGACUAAAUAAAGCAAGCAAUCAAUCAA